rnacentral:rRNA from 1 species
ACGACCUCAGAGCAGGCGAGACUACCCGCUGA